CAGGGGAAACACAGUGAAGAGAACCUCAAAACUGCACGAUGAAGCAAUCCUCAGGGCCUGGAACAAGAAAAGAAAACAUCACAUGUUGAAAGAUGAAGCACUUCUGAAAGGCA